AAAAAAUGUAUGUCUAUAAUUGUUGAGGAAACGAUUCAUAAAUAUACCAACACUGAUUGGCAGCUUUUUGGUACAGACUUGCUACAUCAGGUCUAUUUCAGGUCAGUAAUUAGCCUUAGAAAGUUUCGUAUUUACUGCAAAAUAUUAUACAUUUAUUUCCCGUGCCUAAGGGAGAUAUGAAGAUUUGUUUACCCAAGAAUAUUCAUAUUUCACGAGGGCUUUGGCCGAGGGAAAUAUGAUUUUUAGAGGGUGAACAAAUCUUCAUAUCUCCCGAGGCCAAGGGAAAUGAAUGUUUUAUUCCACUGCUUAAGCUUUGUAUACUAUCUGAAGUUCAAAUAUUAGUUUGCAAACCGGCAUUUUUCCCGACUAAUAUCCGCUUGUUUUGAUUACUAAACAUGACAUACACAUUGAUAAACAGUACAGAUAAACAUUAAUUAUUCGAUUAGUCUUUUUGUUUUAAAGUCUGAAAUAAAUUGGAGCAUGAUAAUGAUAUUUGCUAAAUCUAUUUAAAAAUUAAGAAGUUCGAGACGAUAUAUACAUAAACCGCACCUAACUUUGCAUGGUUUAGUCCCGACAUGCCAGAGGUGAAUAUGAAGUUUUGUUCAACGUCAUGUGUGAAGGUUUCAACCAAUCAAAUGUUGAUUUCGCUAUCGAAAUCAACAUGCAGUCGAAUAAUAUUUUUUAUUACUUUUUUUUUUUAAAUUUCUGUAGUCAUGGUAGUGAUAUUUUUACUUUUAAUGUUUGGGAUAUAACUAUAUUUUAAUAUUUGUGAAUAAAGCA
rnacentral:lncRNA from 1 species